CACCCAGGCUGGAGUGCAGUGGCAUGAUCUUGGCUCACUGCAACCUCUGGCCCCCAGGUUCAAGCAAUUCUCCCGCCUCAACCUCCCACCCCCCACCGAACUGCCCAACUCCCCCUCCCCAACUGCCCAACUCCCCCACCCCCACAAUCCCCUCCCGCCACAACUGAGGGAGGCGGUGCUGAAAAACAGCUGACUCCAGCAAUGCUGCUCACGUGACCACUGCAGCUGCAGCUCCCGUUCCACUCCUUGUCCUGGGCUAGGUGGGCACUACCAGGGGCUCCUUUGGUAAGGAGUACCGGGUAGGCACCCGGUCCUGCCAAUCCACCACUGGAACAGCUGGGGGGACAGCAGACAGGCACGGUCGGACAGACUUGACAGAUCAGGCAUCAGGCCCUCUGCGCUGGUCCCGGGCUCUUUAAGCAGGAACGUGAAUGGCCUCAAGAUGUCUCACAUGGUCCCACUAGCCCUCCUCCUCCCUUUGUUCCCUACCUCCAGGAGGGCUGCUCUGCCCUUCCUUCCUCUGUUCUUUGGCCUUAUGUUCCCCGCCACCACAGACCUUCCCCCGCCCCACCCCUCUGCAGACUUAGCCG
rnacentral:lncRNA from 1 species